rnacentral:lncRNA from 1 species
UUAAUCUGAGUUUAAAGCUACUAGUAAUCUGUGUUUAAUGUAGCAGUAGUAACAAUAUUUCACUUGAAGCAGAGUUCUAUAGUUCAUAAAUUAUUCCCCUUAUUACUACUGCUACUGCCAUCUUACACUACCAUAUACUCCAUACUGUAUAUAGAUUGUGAUAUGCACAUGAUCAAGCUAAACGACGCGGAUCCGGAGAAAUUAUUAGCUUAAGCAUUGGAAUUCAGAAGCCGCCGUUGCCAUCGUCGUCGUCGUCCUGCGAGUAGAACUCCACGAUCUCCGACAGGUCAUCAGCGGCCGCGGAGUCAUCUUCACCGCCCACCCCCUCUUUGCCGCUGGCGCUGGCCUUGGUCGCCAGCCACAGCAGGUGCUCGAACAGCAGUGCGUCCACGGCCACCGCGACCCCGCCGCCGGGCGCCCGCCUCCCCGCGGCCGCCAGCAGCCGGCGCACCGGCCCGGCCUCCAGCACGGCGGGGUCGACGUGGAACACGCUCUUCGCCCGCUCCCUCGUCGUCCCGACCUCCACCCUCACCGCGGCUGCAGCGCCCUCGAGCGCCAGCGCGGAGUCGAGGCGGCGGUAGCCCCCCGACGCGCGGUGGUGGGAGCGGGUGAGGAACGCGUAGCAGCCGGCGGCCGAGGGCCGCGGCGACGGGGCCUCCUCGUCCGCGGCCGCCGCGCCGCCCUGAUGAUGCCGGUGGUGCGGCAUGGCCGUGGCGGGGGUUCCUUCUUCCGCCGCGCGCGCCGAGCUGUGCCGGCGCCGGGAAGAGGCAAGAGAGAUGCGUGCGCGCGAGGCGUUUGGCGUUUGCACUUUGCAGUGUCGUAGUGUGUUGUGUUGGGGUGCUUUUCUUUUCUUGGGCCGGCGCGAGCCAUUUAUGCCGGGGAGGGAGGGUUGUGGGUUUGGAACUAACGGUCGGCUGGUGUGGGAGCCGGGUUUCCUGUCCGGUUGGAUUCGGAUCGCCGGAGGUGCCGUACUGCUGUCUGCGUUGGUUGCAUGGAUUUUCCUUUGCCUACACUAAGGCAUCAACUUU